UUCCGGUUGAUCCCGCCGGACCCCACUGCUAUCGAGAUGGGACUAAGGUAUGCUAGUCGAACGACCAGAACUAUGUCUGGGAGUGGCACACUGCUCAGUAACACGUAGCUAACCUACCCUUAGGACGUGGAUACCCCCGAGAAAUUGGGGUUAAUCCGCGAUAGAUGUAAUGUCCUGGAAUGGUAUUACGUCUAAAGGUAUUUCAUACAUGUUUGAAAUAUGCCUAAGGAUGGGGCUGCGGCCGAUCAGGCUGUUGGUGAGGUAAUGGCUCACCAAACCUUUGACCGGUACGGGCCAUGAGAGUGGUAGCCCGGAGAUGGACACUGAGACAAGGCUCCAGGCCCUAAGGGGCGCAGCAACCGCGAAACCUCCACAAUGCACUCACGUGCGAUGGGGCUAUCUCGAGUGCCACCUGAUGAAGGUGGCUUUUCCUAGGUCUUCAAAGCCUUGGGAAUAAGAGGGGGGCAAGACUGGUGUCAGCCGCCGCGGUAACACCAGCCCCUCGAGUGGUGGGGAUGAUUAUUUGGCCUAAAGCGUCCGUAGCCGGCCGAGCAAGUCUUCCGUUAAAUCCAGCGUCUCAAGCGUUGGACUGCGGGAGAUACUACACGGCUAGAGAGUGGGAGAGGUCAGCGGUAUUCUGGGGGUAGGGGCGAAAUCCUUUGAUCCCCGGAGGACCACCAGUGGCGAAGGCUGCUGACUAGAACACGUCUGACGGUCAGGGACGAAAGCUGGGGUAGCGAACCGGAUUAGAUACCCGGGUAGUCCCAGCCGUAAACGAUGCAUGCUAGGUGUUGGGUUGGCCA
rnacentral:rRNA from 1 species